rnacentral:rRNA from 1 species
UAAUUUGAGAGUUUGAUCCUGGCUCAGGACGAACGCUGGCGGCGUGCCUAAUACAUGCAAGUCGAACGAACUCUGGUAUUGAUUGGUGCUUGCAUCAUGAUUUACAUUUGAGUGAGUGGCGAACUGGUGAGUAACACGUGGGAAACCUGCCCAGAAGCGGGGAUAACACCUGGAAACAGAUGCUAAUACCGCAUAACAACUUGGACCGCAUGGUCCGAGCUUGAAAGAUGGCUUCGGCUAUCACUUUUGGAUGGUCCCGCGGCGUAUUAGCUAGAUGGUGGGGUAACGGCUCACCAUGGCAAUGAUACGUAGCCGACCUGAGAGGGUAAUCGGCCACAUUGGGACUGAGACACGGCCCAAACUCCUACGGGAGGCAGCAGUAGGGAAUCUUCCACAAUGGACGAAAGUCUGAUGGAGCAACGCCGCGUGAGUGAAGAAGGGUUUCGGCUCGUAAAACUCUGUUGUUAAAGAAGAACAUAUCUGAGAGUAACUGUUCAGGUAUUGACGGUAUUUAACCAGAAAGCCACGGCUAACUACGUGCCAGCAGCCGCGGUAAUACGUAGGUGGCAAGCGUUGUCCGGAUUUAUUGGGCGUAAAGCGAGCGCAGGCGGUUUUAAGUCUGAUGUGAAAGCCUUCGGCUCAACCGAAGAAGUGCAUCGGAAACUGGGAAACUUGAGUGCAGAAGAGGACAGUGGAACUCCAUGUGUAGCGGUGAAAUGCGUAGAUAUAUGGAAGAACACCAGUGGCGAAGGCGGCUGUCUGGUCUGUAACUGACGCUGAGGCUCGAAAGUAUGGGUAGCAAACAGGAUUAGAUACCCUGGUAGUCCAUACCGUAAACGAUGAAUGCUAAGUGUUGGAGGGUUUCCGCCCUUCAGUGCUGCAGCUAACGCAUUAAGCAUUCCGCCUGGGGAGUACGGCCGCAAGGCUGAAACUCAAAGGAAUUGACGGGGCCCGCACAAGCGGUGGAGCAUGUGGUUUAAUUCGAAGCUACGCGAAGAACCUUACCAGGUCUUGACAUACUAUGCAAAUCUAAGAGAUUAGACGUUCCCUUCGGGGACAUGGAUACAGGUGGUGCAUGGUUGUCGUCAGCUCGUGUCGUGAGAUGUUGGGUUAAGUCCCGCAACGAGCGCAACCCUUAUUAUCAGUUGCCAGCAUUAAGUUGGGCACUCUGGUGAGACUGCCGGUGACAAACCGGAGGAAGGUGGGGAUGACGUCAAAUCAUCAUGCCCCUUAUGACCUGGGCUACACGUGCUACAAUGGAUGGUACAACGAGUUGCGAACUCGCGAGAGUAAGCUAAUCUCUUAAAGCCAUUCUCAGUUCGGAUUGUAGGCUGCAACUCGCCUACAUGAAGUCGGAAUCGCUAGUAAUCGCGGAUCAGCAUGCCGCGGUGAAUACGUUCCCGGGCCUUGUACACACCGCCCGUCACACCAUGAGAGUUUGUAACACCCAAAGUCGGUGGGGUAACCUUUUAGGAACCAGCCGCCUAAGGUGGGACAGAUGAUUAGGGUGAAGUCGUAACAAGGUAGCCGUAGGAGAACCUGCGGCUGGAUCACCUCCUUU